GACAGAGGUGCCAAGCGUUAGGCGGAAUCACUGGGCUUAAAGCGUGUGUAGGCGGAAUUGUAAGUACCUUGUGAAAUCCCAUGGCUCAACCAUGGAACUGCUCGGUAUACUGCUUUUCUUGAGCCACUUAGGGGCUACCGGAACAAAUGGUGGAGCGGUGAAAUGCGUAGAUAUCAUUUGGAACGCCAUGGUGAAAACAGGUAGCUGGGAGUGUGCUGACGCUGAGACACGAAAGCCAGGGGAGCGAACGGG
rnacentral:rRNA from 1 species